rnacentral:misc_RNA from 1 species
UGCUGAUGCUGAACCAAGGAAUCGGGAUCCUGACUUUGCUCAGCAUAUGGCUGAGCAUGAGGCCACUCUUAGUGAGCUUAACAAACAGUAUUCAGAUGCGCUGAAAGAACUGGAAGCUGAAAAGAAGCGAGGAAAGGAGCUAAAGCAAAUGAGAGAGGCUCAGGGCAUGCCAUUGUUGGAUAAACCAAUUGAGGAACUCAACUUGGAC